rnacentral:tRNA from 1 species
GCCUUCGUGGUGUAGUGGUAAGCACGCUCGAUGCGUAAUCCAGAGGUCCGUGGUUCGAUUCCCGGCGAAGGCG